UACGAAGGUGGCAAGCGUUACUCGGAAUUACUAGGCGUAAAGGGCAGGUAGGUGGUUUGGUUAGUCUGUUGUGAAAGCUCCUUGCUUAACGGGGAGAGGUCAACAGAUACUGCCAGGCUUGAGUAUAGGAGAGGGUACUGGAAUUCCCGGUGUAGCGGUGAAAUGCGUAGAUAUCUGGAGGAACACCGGUGGCGAAGGCGGCAUCCUGGACCGACACUGACGCUGAGGAGCGAAAGCCAGGGGAGCAAACGGG
rnacentral:rRNA from 1 species